rnacentral:rRNA from 1 species
UGGGGAAUCUUGCACAAUGGGGGCAACCCUGAUGCAGCGACGCCUCGUGAGCGAUGAAGCCCUUCGGGGCGUAAAGCUCUUUCGACCGGAACGAUAAUGACUGUACCGGGAGAAGAAGCUGCGGCUAACUACGUGCCAGCAGCCGCGGUAAUACGUAGGCAGCGAGCGUGGUUCGGAGUUACUGGGCGUAAAGAGUGCGUAGGCGGCGAGCCAAGUUUGGUGUGAAAUCUCCCGGCUUAACCGGGAGGGUGCGCCGAAAACUGGUUGGCUGGAGUAUGGGAGAGGAAAGCGGAAUUCCUGGUGUAGCGGUGAAAUGCGUAGAUAUCAGGAGGGACAACUGCGGUGUAGACAGCUUUCUGGCCCAAAACUGACGCUGAGGCACGAAAGCGUGGGUAGCAAACA